UGACGUGAAUUUAUUUGUUUACAUGAUUUAAGAACUCAAAAAUUAGAUUUUAUAAUUGUGAAUACUUGCUCUUUGCAAAAUUACGUGUACUGAAUUUAUUCUGUUCAUUGCCAUAUAACCGGAACUUCGUCUUAUACUCGUACUCCCUAGUUAUGACUUAUGGCUGUAAAAAACUGGUUAGAAUGUGCAACACUAAUAUAUCUUAUUAGACAUUUAUUUUUAGAUUUAUUAUAAUGUUUUUGUUUUGUUUACUUAAGGAAACUUAAACAAGAUUAAAUAAUUUUGCAUUAGACUCGUAGUUACCUAACCUAUUCAUUAAACAUAAAAGUACAAAACUUAAAUUAUAUUUUAGAAGUUCUACUACCUGAACCAUUUAUUCUAAAAACACGUACAAAUAUUUAUACCAUCACAUUCCUAUCUAAAUGUCAAUAAAAAUAUUAAUUUUAUAAUCUACAAAUCGGUAUGUAUUUAUGGUGUGUGCACUUGCUUCGAUGGGUAGGAACUUAUUUUAGAUUUAAACAAAUAAUCCAUACUAAGACCAAUUUAGUUGAUUUCUUAGCAUUUCUUCCGGAAUCCAUUUCUUUUUUUAUAUAAUACCAGGAACAAUUCAACAUUAUACUAUGAGUAAUAUUGUAUAUACAAAUAUUUAUUCAACUGUUACGUCAAGAUACAUAAUAAUAGUAUCCAUACCGUUAAGCUUUGACUGAAAACAUUAUGAAAUAGUGAGGGCAUUUUUAUUGGAAAAUUCCGUUAAACUCGAUCGUGUGCAAUGCCGUUUUCCUUGACUGUAUUAUGCAAUUGUAUUGUUUUGAACUAAACACAGUUAUAGAUGAGUCCAGUAUAUGAGUACUUACUGUAUGGACAUCGUGUGUGCGAUACGAAAUGACGGACAGUAAUAUUAUUAUGUUUGCAAUAUUCUUGAUGACUUCUGUGUUGGCCGUUUCCAGUCAAUCAAAUCUUCAGUCUCAACUAUGGGUCACGAAAAUUUUGUCCGACACUCUGGACGAGUACACACCCGAUGGAGGUGUAGUUUGCAAGCGUCAUGGUCUGCAGUAUCGAGAAGGGUUGAGAGACCUUAAACUGUGGGCUACUCAAAUGUAUGACGCAUCAUCUAAAUUUCCUACGGGGAUCUUAGCUGGGAGAUCUUAUGACUUUGGAAAUUUUGACGAGUGUUUAAAAAUUGUUACUGAUGGUUUGGAAUUAAGUCCUCAAUAUUGUAUUAUAAGCAUUCGUUUUUUACCUACUGCAAAAUUGUAUCCAAAAUAUUACAACAUAACACCUACUAAUCUAAAUCCAACAGACUCUGUGUGGGAAUCGACAAAGAAUGACUCCGGUUUAAUAAAAAUGCAACGCAACGAAAUCAAUACGGCACUCUGUAUACCAUCGUCAUGUUCACAUUCAGAUAUACAGACAACAUUAUCACCUAAAAUAAUUUCUGCAUUUAAUAAACAUCAACUUAUUACCACUGUUACUGUGAAUUCGAUUUAUUGUACUACUCAACAAGAACUCCAACCACCAAAGUUAUUGGGAUAUCGAAUAUUUUGGGGAGUCUUGUUGCUUAUUAUAUUAUUGACUUUCAUCGGAUCAUUAUGUGACGUAUACAAUCAGGAAGAAAAUCAAUAUGAUUACAAGUCGUUUUUCAUGGCAUUCUCAUUUCCGGCUAACAUAAAACGUUUAUUUUUGGCCAGCAAUAAAACCGAAAAUCUAUCUUGUAUUGACAUUUUAAAGACUCAUGCAUGCGUUCUAAUCAUAAUUGGACAAAGAAUGUUGUACAGUACUGGACAGCCACUGCAAAAUCCUAAAAAGUUUGACGAGGUAGCUUUACAUUUAUCGUAUGCUAUGAUUCGCAAUGGAUCAUUGGUUGUCGAUUUCUUUUUCGUUUCAGUGGUUUCCUAACUUUUUAUUUUCUCUAUGAUGAACUAGUCAACACAAAAAUCAUAAAUGUACCAUUACUCUUGCUAUGGAGAUGGUUGAGAUUAAUGCCUGUAUAUGGUUUAAUGAUAGCGUUUCAUACAUUUGUUUUAUUACAUUUGGCUGAUGGACCAUUAUGGAAAAAAAUAGCUAUUCAAGAAUCAGAUCACUG